GAUCAUGGCUCAGGAUGAACGCUAGCGAUAGGCUUAACACAUGCAAGUCGAGGGGCAGCACGGUGUAGCAAUACACUGGUGGCGACCGGCGUACGGGUGCGUAACACGUAUGCAACCUACCCGCUAUUGGGGGAUAACCCGGCGAAAGUCGGACUAAUACCCCAUAUUAUUCUUACCGGGCAUCCGGUAGGUCUGAAAGAUUUAUCGAUUGCGGAUGGGCAUGCGGAUGAUUAGCUAGUAGGUGGGGUAACGGCUCACCUAGGCGACGAUCAUUAGGGGUUCUGAGAGGAAGGUCCCCCCACACUGGAACUGAGACACGGUCCAGACUCCUACGGGAGGCAGCAGUGAGGAAUAUUGGUCAAUGGGCGCUAGCCUGAACCAGCCAAGUCGCGUGAAGGAUGACAAGAUCUAUGGUUUGUAAACUUCUUUUGCAGGGGAGUAAAGUGCGACACGUGUGUUGUAUUGCAAGUACCCUGCGAAUAAGCAUCGGCUAACUCCGUGCCAGCAGCCGC
rnacentral:rRNA from 1 species